CCAUUCAUUCUUAAAUGUCACGGAACAUCAGCUCAAAAUCCAUGGGUCGGCUGUUUCAAUAACAUUCUGAUUUUUGUCCAUUAGGUCCAGACGUUGCGCUGAAGUGCAACGAUGAAGUGGAAACCUGAGAGAAGACUCCCGAACACACAGACACGUAACGCAGCGACACUACGAGGGCUGACACGCCGUCGCCUGCAGCUGUAAGCCCAGCGUGGCCCCAAACCUCCAUGAGCACAGCCCAGCUGUCAGCGAUCACAACAGGCGUGUUGUAUACGACGACGGCGUUAGAGGCAACGGGAGCCGGAUAAGAGGAAUGAUCCAUACUCGUGAUGAAACCAGACAGAAUCCGCCGGGAUCGGACGAUGGCCGCCGCGCACGAAGCUUAAACGUGGCAAUUCAAGUUCACCAAGCUCAAUUUACAUCAAGGAAGAAACAAAAAAUUAACCGAUAAAAGCAUUAUUUAGGUUCAUCUGCAUGGAGGUACGUAUGCAUAAUUUCCAACUGGAAGUGGUGGGUAUCCUCAAGAGAGAUCAUUAUGCAAAUAUCGUCUUCGGCAUAAUCUAGAAUUUACAAUUGUACCGGAUUGUCUGAAUCUGAUGCGCAUGACCCGAGUUCCGAGAUCUGCGCCGUUGUUUGGAUGUUUUUUUUUUUUUAACAAUACUCACAGAUAUAUAUUAUUUGUUUUCUGCGAAGAUUGACCAAUAUUACAGAGGAAUGACUAGAGUCACUUAUAUCCAUAUGUGUUAUACUGCCCUCAGAUGGCUGCACACCAAAAAGAGCAGCACAAUGACCAUUGAAAAGUAAAAAAAAAACAAAAAAAAAACUUCAGAAGUCUUUACAUUUUAUUGAAUAUUUUCAAUACUGUGUUUUUUACAAAGUACAGUAUUAGUUUUUUUCUUUCAAAAAAAUCAAAUGACAUUUCCUCAUGUCGUACAUCAAAAUUAUGAUGCGCGUGUAUAUCCACGGGCUGUGAAGCUAGUUUGAACACUUUGGCACCCUCCAUCUUUUCUGCCCUCCGUUUAGAAGAAGCGUUGCCUCGCCAGUCACGUCUUACGAGGCCUCGCGCUGACCCCCACCGCCGCCUCCAUAUCCCCACCCCCGGCGUAGCGCAGCCGCAUUAUUAAACUUGUAUAAGAUCAUUAGCAUACAAAGCAGGAAACCUACAGCGUCGCAGUCAUACAUAUUUAUCUGGACGUGCCUGCCUCGCACUCGCGCUGUAACCGCUUUGCGCGCCUGUCGGAGGUGACGUCGGAAUUCGUCCGCAGUGAAGUGGGCAAUACUUGAAGGGUGCCCGCUUUGAGGGGGUAGAUAUUUAUCGGGACGAUGCCGCCCUGUGAAGGGAAGGCGCGCAUUUGGAAACCGGAGACGGACGUUGGGGUUCAUCACCGCGCUUUGUUUCACACACAACGAAUGUCAUUUCCGCACAAGCGUCUGAUAAUCAAAUACAUAUUCAUCUGCUGGCGCACGUAAUCAAACGGGACUUGGUUGGUACAAGCCUCACCUGUGGGGAGAGCAGCUCUGCUUCUGCAAAAUGCACUUUGCACACGACCACGCCAUCAUUGUCUCCUUGCUCUCCUGGGCACCCCCCCCCCUUCUGUUUUCCUGCUCACCCCCCUCUCCCGCCUGAUUGCAAAACCCCUUCCUUGCUUGCGAUGUGGAAUUCUCUUGAUAAUAUGUCUUGCAUUUUCCCCACGCAAAAUCAUGUGGGGGGCUCAAAGAAAAUGCCUCAUCUUUGUGGAACUUUCAGCGACCUACUAGAUACUGCAACGUAGAUCCACAGAUGUUUGUGUUCAUUUUUUUCCCCUCUUCAUUGCCCCUUGUUGCCAGGCAGAGUCCCUGAGGCCCUGAUUCAUAGCUGACCCCCAAAGGUCAAUGACAACCCACCAAACAAAACUAGGGGCUGAAAGUGAAAGCCAAUAAGAAAUCGGAUUACAUACCAACUGAUAGACUCUCUCGUCACCUUGUGAAAUUUCACCCUCUUGCCCCCGCUGCUCGCCACUGCUUCUUCCUUCCUUUUCGUCCCCUCCUCUUCUUCCCUCCUGUGAGAUUGCUGUUGUGUCUUAUGGCUUUUUAUUCCUACGUGAUGGUCGAUGGGUUCAUGUAGGAGCAGAAGCCACUAAACACGCGGUGACCGCUCAGCGCCACGGGCAACGUCAUGCGGCCAAUGCUCGCGCCACACUGAUUUUUUUUUUAUAGGAUGGGGUGGGGUUCAAUUUAUUCAUUGUUCUGCCUCCAAACAGGAGGUGUAAAGUUUUUGUUACAAACGCAGACCACGGAGACGCAUAGAGGUAGGUCGGUAAAUCUGCAUUGUUCUCAAAUGACUCCAAUGCGUAUUAAAAAAAAAAAAAAUAAAAUAAGAAAAGAAACCGCUGGGAUAGGCAUCAGCCCCCGAACACAGAAGCGCAUUGCGGCCACACGUUGAACUUUAGAAAACCUCUGUGCGACUGACGGUUUAUUUAAAUUUUUUAAAAUACAUAUUGUUGUCAAAUGAGCCAACUUGGCAUGAUGAAUACUUCUUGGGAAUUUGAGAUUGAGAAGAAUAAUUCCUACCUGAAGUAAAGUGAUCGCUGCACAGUCGUGUGUAUUUGGUUGGGCACCAUCAAUCCCGUUUAAUUGCCGAAAUCCAUCGAUCUUUUUUCGUCUUUUCAGCUGGUAUUCCAUAGAAUGAUCUCUUUGAAGAUCUGUCUCGGCUGUUGUAACACCCAACAGCGCAACAAGUCUCGGCCAUUGUGAAUAUUGUGCUCCGGUUCAAUGCCCCCCACACUGUCGAGCUCUCUUUGACCGGCAAUAUGGCGCCGUGAAAAUGGUGACGUCACCUGCACGAGCUCUAUAUUGAAGUUUAAAAAUGUCAAUUAAGUGGCUCCUUUCCUUCCACUUCUUACCUCUUUCCAAACUUUUUGAGCAACUUGUGGAACAGUGGCAUUUAUUCCCGUCAAGCUCCCCUUGAGCCGAUUUCCCCACCAACCAAUUAAACGUAAAAUUCAAAUGACCCCCCCAUUCCUGUUGGGUCCACUUUGGCGCGAUGGGAUUGGGUUUAAAUGUCAACUGUCUGUUCGUGUCGCCGGCUCGCCCGGCCCCCGGAGCGCCAUCCGAAUAAUGCUGGAACCUGUUGUUGUCGUAGGCCAAAAGGCUGAAUUAUGAAUCCGUUGGAUGUAAAUUACAGCGGUUUGACACAUGCUUCCAAUUGUGCGACAUUACUUCUACACCGACGCACGGUUGGAUUAAUAUUCAAGAUGACAUUGCAAUAGCUGCGCUCUACUGGGGUUUCAUGAUUUAUUCAGCGCUGCGAGUUGUUGUGAUCUAAUAUUCAGUGGGCGGGAUGGGAAGUUUCUUUCGCUUGCAUUAUCGGUUUAAUAUAUUUUUCAGGUUCCCGUUCCGACGUGGCGUUUCUUUUUUCAUGCGCGUGGGGGUCUGAGAGAAUUCCAGAGCAGAGCCGAGAGGGCUCUGUUCGAUCCCGGACCAGCGGGCGCCGUACGGGAAUCUGAAGGUGGGAACGCGAGCGUUUCUCGGGCAGUAGAGGAGUGCGUAUUAUUUCCACAUAGCACGGGAAGGAGAUUGAUUGCGCAUGUCCGACAGCCGCUUUAUGAUCCGAAGUGGUUUUCGACGUUGAAAAUGUUAGAAACGCGCAGAAAAACCCGACGGCACGGACGUGGCGAUCGGGUCGCGCGAGGUCACGUGACCCUCGGCUUCAAUUUUUCAAAGUGACUGUCAUGAAUGGAAUUUUCGUGUGACAAGCGACACGUGACGCGUUUGUGUACAGUAUCAAGGCCUCCGCAGGCUCCACUUUGAUCCGCCUGUGAUAAAUAAUGCUCUUUUGUGUUCUCUGCUUCAUUUGUUCCCGUUUGUAAUGUCAGCGCUGUUCAAUAAAACAUGAACAAUGCCUA